UGGGUGAUCUGCCCUGCACUUCGGGAUAAGCCUGGGAAACUGGGUCUAAUACCGGAUAUGAUCAUGCGCCUCCUGGUGUGUGGUGGAAAGCUUUUGCGGUGUGGGAUGGGCCCGCGGCCUAUCAGCUUGUUGGUGGGGUAAUGGCUCACCAAGGCGACGACGGGUAGCCGGCCUGAGAGGGUCGACCGGCCACACUGGGACUGAGACACCGGCCCAGACCUCCGUACGGGAGGNA
rnacentral:rRNA from 1 species